GAUGAAGAACGCAGCGAAAUGCGAUAAGUAAUGUGAAUUGCAGAAUUCAGUGAAUCAUCGAAUCUUUGAACGCACAUUGCGCCCGCCAGUAUUCUGGCGGGCAUGCCUGUUCGAGCGUCAUUUCAACCAUCAAGCCCCAGGCUUGUGUUGGGGACCUGCGGCUGCCGCAGGCCCUGAAAACCAGUGGCGGGCUCGCUGUCACACCGCGCGUAGUAGAUUUUAUCUCGCUCAGGGCGUGCUGCGGGUUCCGGCCGUUAAAAAGCCUUUUUUACCCAAGGUUGACCUCGGAUCAGGUAGGAAGACCCGCUGAACUUAAGCAUAUCAAUAGCGGAGGA
rnacentral:misc_RNA from 1 species